CCCCCCUACCAGCCCCUUCCCCAGCCCCCUACCACCCUCUCAAGCAGAGGGUGGUAGGGGGCUGGGGCAGGGGCUGGAAGGGGGC
rnacentral:miRNA from 1 species